UACACAGCCUUCUGUGGCAAAGAAUUCCACAGAUUCACCACCCUCUGACUGAAGAAAUUCCUCCUCAUCUCCUUCUUAAAGGAAUGUCCAUUCAUUCUGAAGCUGUGACCUCUAGUGCAAGACCCUCCCACUAGUGGAAACAUCCUCUCCACAUCCACUCGAUCAAGGCCUUUCA